GCCCGGAUGGCGAAAUACGGCAAACGCGAUGGAUUCAAAAUCCAUUGUCCGAAAGGACUUGCGGGUUCAAGUCCCGCUCCGGGCA
rnacentral:tRNA from 1 species